rnacentral:rRNA from 1 species
UACGAAGGGGGCUAGCGUUGCUCGGAAUUACUGGGCGUAAAGCGCACGUAGGCGGAUUGUUAAGUCGGGGGUGAAAUCCUGGAGCUCAACUCCAGAACUGCCUUCGAUACUGGCUAUCUCGAGUCCGGGAGAGGUGAGUGGAACUGCGAGUGUAGAGGUGAAAUUCGUAGAUAUUCGCAAGAACACCAGUGGCGAAGGCGGCUCACUGGCCCGGUACUGACGCUGAGGUGCGAAAGCGUGGGGAGCAAACAGG